UGUGGUGAGUAACAGACGUGUUAGGUUUUGGCCGAUGUGCUGAUAAGCUUGUGCGCUGAUGUUUGGUUUUCUUUCUCUUGGCAGAGCAAGAUACAACAGCCCGGUGCCACCAGGGACUGCUCAGAUGGCGAGGCUGCUUUCUUUUGCACCUGACACAGAUUGGCAUGCCCACCUGUCUGAGAGAUGAGUAGAGGGCUGCGACCCGCAGAGGGGAUGAAAGUGCUGAUGCAUUAUAUCCUUGUCAGAGCGCCCCAUCCCGGGCUUGUGGGUUCCCAUGAGCAGGCAGUCAAGCCAGAGAGCAGCAGUCAAGGCUGAGUGGGCAAGGUAAUUGACUCGGCAGAUGUCCAGCCCCUGUCACCAGCCAGCACAUGCACCGGGUUUCCUGCACAUGUGGGCCUUGUGGAAGUAUUACAGGACUCUGCG